GAACUGCGAUAAGUAAUGUGAAUUGCAGAAUUCAGUGAAUCAUCGAGUCUUUGAACGCACAUUGUGCCCCCUGGCAUUCCGGGGGGCAUGCCUGUCCGAGCGUCAUUGCUGCCCUUCAAGCCCGGCUUGUGUGUUGGGUCGUCGUCCCCUCCGGGGGACGGGCCCGAAAGGCAGCGGCGGCACCGCGUCCGGUCCUCGAGCGUAUGGGGCUUUGUCACCCGCUCGAUAAGGACCGGCCGGGCGCCAGCCGGCGUCUCCAACCUUUUUUUCUCAGGUUGACCUCGGAUCAGGUAGGGAUACCCGCUGAACUUAAGC
rnacentral:misc_RNA from 1 species